GUCAACUACCCCUCCUUAACUGAAGCGAAUGCUUCAGUUUGAGGAAGGAGCUUGUUUUCAUAAAGCAAGUUCCUGGUUGACCAGACCACUGGAUAUGGGUUAUAUAUGUUAAUAAUAAUAGAAAAAAGUCCAGUAAACGAUACCGGAGAAUACAACAGUAGUCACCCUGGGAUGCCGCCUCAGUCCCUUGCUCUGAG
rnacentral:sRNA from 21 species